rnacentral:rRNA from 1 species
UACGUAGGGUGCGAGCGUUGUCCGGAAUUACUGGGCGUAAAGAGCUCGUAGGUGGUUUGUCGCGUUGUUCGUGAAAACUCACAGCUUAACUGUGGGCGUGCGGGCGAUACGGGCAGGCUAGAGUACUGCAGGGGAGACUGGAAUUCCUGGUGUAGCGGUGAAAUGCGCAGAUAUCAGGAGGAACACCAAUGGCGAAGGCAGCUCACUGGGACGGUAUUGACGCUGAGACGCGAAAGCGUGGGGAGCGAACAGG